GACAGAGGUACCAAGCGUUAGGCAGAAUCACUGGGCUUAAAGCGUGUGUAGGCGGAUUCCUAAGUGUCUUGUGAAAUCCCACGGCUUAACCGUGGAACUGCUGGACAUACUGGGAGUCUUGAGCCACCUAGGGGCGAGCGGAACAGAAGGUGGAGCGGUGAUAUGCGUAGAUAUCAUCUGGAACGCCAAUGGUGAAAACAGCUCGCUAGGGGUGUGCUGACGCUGAGACACGAAAGCUAGGGUAGCGAACGGG
rnacentral:misc_RNA from 1 species